ensembl:lincRNA Gm38399 predicted gene, 38399
AGUGAGAGGCUGAAGGCCGGAGCGCGCAGCGCCGGCUGAGACUCGCGCGGGGAGCCGGCUGGGCCCCGGGAAUCCCGGGAAACUUUCUGAUCGCGAGGACAGGACGCCCUGCGUUGCGCUGCUCGGGCGAUGCGCGAUUCUGCGCGGCGGCGGCGCGGACCCACAACCCGGGACCUGAAGCGCUCCGGAUCCUAGUGUCGCCCUACCUCUGCUGCUGACCAUGAGUGGGAUGGCCAACGUGAAUUCUGCCAGCCGCCCACACUAUGCCUCCUCUAUCCCCGUGCCUCGAGCCUCCUCCCAGACCAGGAUUCACACCCCAGGCGCAUCUCCCCAGCUGCGGCCUCGCCAACAGGCUGACCUGGCCCUGAGUCCCCAUCGAGGAGCCUCCCCAAGACGGGGCAAGGCUGCAGUCUCUUCUAGAAACUCAUCCCCCAAGGCAUACAGGGGAAGAGGAACCCCCAGGGCUGCCGGGCCAGCCAGAGAACUGGCUGGGAGUGUAGAAAGCCUUCCCAGCUCCCCCUGGAACAGCCCCAGGGUAACCCCCAAAACAGCCCUCUCCAGUCAGGCAGGAUCCAGAAGAGCUGGGGAGACACAAAGCACCCAGAGGAAGAAGACCCAAGAAGGAAUUCCAGUUCGACACACCAGAGGAAGGAGCCCACCCCAGUCAAACCGUUAUGGAGAAACACAAAUUCCAGGGCCUCCUGAAGGUCGGAUGCCUCCUGGCUGCCAGGGAAAAGAUCAAAGAAACAUCAACUCCAAACCCCCUAGGUGUCUGGAGCCGGAUGAAGGGGAAGCUUCGGGGACUUCCUCUCCAGUGUGCAGCCCCGUGCAGAGCAUGCGGUCCUCAGCUACUCCUGGAGUCAUUAGCUUUUCCUCAGCCCAUCCGCAGAGCCAACCAAUCACAGCCACAGUAGCCCCCUUCCAGUACAGGUGAGCAGGGGGGCAAGCAGGGAGGGAAAGGGGGAACUGUGCCGAGAUCAAGGGCCAAACUCAGAGAUCAGAGGCUUUAGUGAACAAUGAGUGGAGAACACAGGGUCAGAAGUUAGGAAAGGGGAUGGCUGGAGACAUGGGAGUGUGGUAAACUGAGAUAGGACUAUAAUCUAAAGCCUGUUUUUUCUCCCCUCUGGGGCCUUGACAAGAACCAGGGACUCGUGAGAGUAUCCUAAAGCGGCCAUUUCACACUCUCUUGGAAAUGAUGAGUCUAUAUUUGGGUAUUAGAGAUGUUUAAGCAGCCAGAUACACAGGCAGGUGCAUCAGCAGGUGCUUUAGACCGGCCAAAUUUGUGUAGGCUGUUUGCCACCACCGUAUGUUAGACAAACGGUAUUGUCUUGAGCGCUGAGUCUUCAGUUGCUUGAGCAAAGACCUAACUGUGCUGCUCUCCUAGCGCUCUUGUGUCUGUCUGUCUGUCUGUCUGUCUGUCCAUCUCUCCUCCUCUCACCUGCUUGUUUGCAGUGCUUGUCAUGCGGCCUUAUGCCUGUUUAAAUGUGUGGCGGAUUGUUGGUCAGUACUACUUCUUAAGUUGCAAGGCAGGUACUGUUGUCAUUGGCGGUGGCAGUACAUUCGCAGCAGCAUGGUCAACGUGCCAACCUCCCCAGCUUGCACACAUGGCAAGCUAAGUGCAUAGAAUAACACUUAGCCAACUAGGCUUUUUAAG